UAGCUUGAGUCAAUUGGAUUUUCCAACUGCCAACUGUCUCCUGGAGGUUUUUUCCCUUGUAGGAGGCUGGUGUUUCUGUUCCCUGGACACUGAAAAAUCCAGUGGCAGGUAGUAACUCAGUAUUUGAAGCAUAUCUACCCAUUUUAACUACAAAAAGGUGUUAACUAUAAAAGGUGAUCUAACCAAAGAAGAUGUGAACUAAAGAGUGGGCAGUCCUGGAGAGGAGUGUCUGAUGUGAUUGGUAGAUGUGAAAUUUAGGGGAGGUGUGACACAAGAGAAAAAGAUCUUUAAAAAGAGGACCAGAGGCCAGAAGAAGAGGUAUUCAAGAUUCAAUUGGAGUUAGAUGGAAGAACUCUCACUCGGAGGAGAGACUGGAAGAUGGACACUUCGACUUGGCUGUGGAACUGGACCCCUGGAGAAGCUCAUGCAGGAGACCUCAGACUGCUUUUCUUUUAGACAGUCACCGUUGGUGAGUGAAAGGCUGACUCAGUAACCCCGUCUUUCUCGGAGGUGUAAAGCUCUAAGAAAGGCCCAUUGUCUUGAGACUUUUUUCCCUGAUUAGGGUCUUAGAAUUUCUACCUGGCUCAAAGGAAGACGGAGUUUUCUCUCUCAUUCCUUAAUAUCUUCCCUCUAUUGUAAAUAAAACUACUAUAAAUUACA